rnacentral:rRNA from 1 species
GAUGAACGCUGGCGGCGUGCCUAAUACAUGCAAGUCGAGCGAACAGAUAAGGAGCUUGCUCCUUUGACGUUAGCGGCGGACGGGUGAGUAACACGUGGGUAACCUACCUAUAAGACUGGAAUAACUCCGGGAAACCGGGGCUAAUGCCGGAUAAUAUUUAGAACCGCAUGGUUCUAAAGUGAAAGAUGGUUUUACUAUCACUUAUAGAUGGACCCGCGCCGUAUUAGCUAGUUGGUGGGGUAAUGGCUUACCAAGGCAACGAUACGUAGCCGACCUGAGAGGGUGAUCGGCCACACUGGAACUGAGACACGGUCCAGACUCCUACGGGAGGCAGCAGUAGGGAAUCUUCCGCAAUGGGCGAAAGCCUGACGGAGCAACGCCGCGUGAGUGAUGAAGGUCUUCGGAUCGUAAAACUCUGUUAUUAGGGAAGAGCAAAUGUGUAAGUAACUGUGCACGUCUUGACGGUACCUAAUCAGAAAGCCACGGCUAACUACGUGCCAGCAGCCGCGGUA